rnacentral:lncRNA from 1 species
CAGGAAGUUGUUGCAAAGCUUAUUUAGUUAAUGCAUAUUGUGCAAUUCAGGACCCUCGGAUUUGUCUGUGGGUUUCCAAGCUUAAUAUAUUAAUAUUAUGUCAUAUUAAUAUGUGAUUAUUUAUGUUGAUAUACUUUUAUCUGACUAGUGUGGUUCACAUCAGUAGCAAGCGAGCUGCAGGAUUUGUAGCCAGCCUGUCAUUUCUAAGACCAGAUUUGAUUCAUGGUCUCAUUUCCUGUUUUUCCUCCCACUGCUCACAGCUCCUUUUUUCCUUCUCCAUGGUCCAUUUAUUAAAUGUAGAGUUAGAAACACAAUUAGAAUUUACUCAAGUCUGAAUAUGAAUAUCUGAAUAUCUGAAUACGAAAUCUUUGGAACAAUAAAAAUUCUUUUCCAAACCUGUCUUAUCUAGCUUGCCUGUUCAGAUGAUGAGCUUGGCCUUCCCUACUGACUGAAUAAAUGAGAAAGAAGCAUGAUUCCAUCAAUUCCAAGCAAGGACAGUAGGAGAAAUUCUGAAAUUACCAAACACUGCUAUAAGACCUGCAAGUGCAAAAGCACAAUGUUAGGCAACAGAAUUACUCGGCUGGCCAAGUGAGGUGUCUGUGGUACCUCCCAGAAGAGUGCUGGUGGAUGAGAUCUGCAGAUGAGUAUACGAUCAUAAAAAGCACAGGUCAUGGCCCUAUCACAACUCGUAUCUCCCUCUAGAGGGACACUGUUGUCAGGGGCAGAGAAAUUCCUGCAUCUCUUCAGCCCUGGGUGCUGCUGAGAUGGAAGAGAGGAGAGAGGAGUGUUUUAUUCCCUUUGGAAAAUCAGGGGGAGAAGUUUCUCCAGCACACGGCUCAAAGCACUUAGCUUCUCAGCACUGCCCUUGGGGAACCAGUCUGUUUCUGCUGCCUGUAGAGAUGGGCAGACAAGUUGGCCAAGGUAAAUACCCACCUCACUGGACUCUUUGGUAUUUAGAUACAUGUAUAAGAACAGUAUUAUACAAAAUAACAUCUAAACAAUACUUCUCUAACUCACUAUCAGUGCAGCAAACAGGAAUGCUGUUCUUCCCCCUCCUCCUCCUCAUUUCAUUUGUACAACUGCCACCCUGGGUAUUGUAA